rnacentral:ncRNA from 1 species
UAGAUAGAGGUGCAGGAUUCAUCAGUAUCGUUGAGUGAAAGGCAGGACCGCCGCUCACGGGAAAGGGGAGACUGCCGAAGGGCUUUAUGCAGGUCCGUGCAGAGAGUUCCUGGGACGCCGGAAAAGAUCCGUCGUACUGUCACAAUGUGUGGAGCGCUAUCUUG